AUUGUAGGAUGAUAGAAGAUAAGUUAGCGUGUUGCAAAACUUCAGACUUGUUCUCUAGUUGCUUACUUAUCAAACCGUAAGUUUUGCUUGACAUGCCAGUGGACUCGGAUUGGACACAUGUGGCUAGUGCAGUGAACAACCGGUGUAUAACUAUUGAUCUUGCUCGGAAUGGCAAGAGCUGAAGCCAGAUAAGAAGAAACCGAUCUGUUCCUGCUGCAGGUUGAGGUACCUUGUUUUGACAACCACAAGUGCAAGCAGGGCAGUUGACAAUCGUUUCACUAUAGAAGGAGGAGAGCGAGACACAGCAAGUCGGAGUCUUUUGGGCUAGGAAUUGUGAAUAUGUGCAACUUACCUGCCAUGACACUGCAGAAAAGAGUAUAUCCAGGGCCUGGUGUUUUCAGGGUAAAGUCCUUUGGUGCUCUCACCGUUUUAUUAGAUGUCCCAGCUUGACCAACCGUGAGUUGAAAUGAGGAGAGUGCAUUGGCAGGGUCCUGAACCCAAGAGCUUAAAACACCACCUCUGCAGCAGUUUGCCAUCCGCUGGGUAUAUGGGGCUGCUGGUAGUAGAUCAACAACUGUGGGUUUCUUCUUGCAACAGUGAGGAAUGUCGCCUUUGAAUUUUGAACAAUCUCCUUGCUCUACUGUUUGACCGCCCAACAUGCUCCAUAUUACCUCACUUUUAGCCCAUGUCCAUCCUAAUUUCCAUCCUGGAGCUUCAAUGUGCCGAUACUUCUGGAAGUUCAAAAUGCUCAAAGUGGCCUGCAAAUUUGAAGAGAAUUAAUCAAAGAUCCUUCAUUUUUCUCAACUGUUGAAGAACAACCACCAUAUGACAUUAUACUUCCAAUCUGAAGAGCUGUCAGUUUCGCGAAUAAAUUUCAUAGAACAAAAUAUCAUUCUGCAGUAGAUUGGGUCUCUAGCAUAGAAGAAUAUCUUCAGUAUUCAAGAAAUAUUGACAGCAAAGGACAAAACAAUCUUAAUUUUCUUUUUGUCUGUGUAAUAUGUAAUUCUUGUCCUCUCUGCAUCAUAUUGACAAUAGUUUCUCACUGUUUUGUUCAUAUAUGAGAAUCCAGAGAGGAUAUAUAUAAGCUACGAACAAAUUGAAUUUGCUAAAUCAAUAACAUGUACCAUUCUUUUAGUAUUACAG